CUUACAUUCCAGAAAACACAGGUCCUAAUGGUAAAGUCACUCUGGCCAUAGCUAAAUUAAAUAGACUCUCAGAAGAGUUAAAGAGAAACUCUGGAGUUACUGAUCCCUGGGAAAAAUGGUUUGGUUGGAUGACUGGUUGGCAGAGAGCUUUAGUCCAGAUUGGUAUUGCCUUACUAAUUUUUCUUUUUAUUCUCGCUCUUCUCAUUUGUUGUGUCCUCCCAUGCCUAAGGAAAUUCCUGCAGAAAACUGUAAACCAAGCAACACCAACCUUCACUCAUCUGACAAUCGAUGAUCAAGACCUCAUCUCACCCUGUAUUCCGCUACAAACUCUCCCGUAUACUGAUGAAGUGCAGAAAGUCUAGGAAGGGACAGUACAGGGACAGCAUCCGUCUUUAUGGGUAGACUGCCGUACGGAGAAGUAGUGGAUAAGCCACUAUGGGUUACCAGCGGAGUGAAGAGUGUUCCUGAACCGUACUGACGGAUGUGCUGCAGCCCGUUAGGGUCAAGAGAGGGAUAGACUUGCACUUUGCAUUAACACUAAGUCAGCUGUCAUGGGGUUUCUGUGUCUUUGGGCUAAUACUUCUUCUGAUACUAACAAAUAAAGUUUUGUCUUUUAGCAAAUAACAUUUUAGGGGGGACUGUUGUAGAAUUAUUAGGCCUCUAUAAAUUUGUA